CGGGUGUCCCUUUGGCACAGAUUUCCAAGCCCACUUGGGGUUUUUCUGCACUGGAGGUUAAAUGUGCCCACAAACACUCCCUCUCCAGCAGUUGGUGUCCCUUAGGUGUGGGGAUGGUUCAGAGGCUGGGGACUGUGGGCUGGAGAAGCUGUCCUGAUCAUCAGUCAGCUCUCAUGCACAGAGGGAUUUUGCAGCACUGAUAUUUGUGCACCCCACGUUCACACCCAUGGACCAAAAAUGAGCUGAAAAGCUCAUCCAGUCUUUGAGGUGCUUUUUUCUUAGAAGGAAGGAGCUUGCCUGACUUUCCUGCACUCCAGGGGCUCCUCACUCAGGUCUCAGACCAAGUGUUCUCCUGUCCAAGACCCAGCACUGCAGGAACCUCAGGCAUGAGCCACCAGGGUUUGCCCUUUACAGCAUGAGGUUUAUUUUUGAGGCAGAACAGAGGCUGCUAGCUAGGCUUAAAAAGUGGGGUUUUUUUCAGGUCAAAGUUAAAUCUGAAGCAAUUUGAGUAGUCUUUGAAUUGUGCAAGAAAACCCAGCCUCACCCACAGCCAGGCUUUGGCAGAAGUGUUGCAGGUUUGGAAGUGUCCCUUAUUUUGUUUCUGUCCCCCUGUGCUUUGCAGAGUGAUUAAGUUUCAAAUGCCAUAAAACACUGACGAAAUCUGCCUCUGGUGCCAGCUCAAACAGAGCCCCCAAACACAGGCACACUUGGAGAACACCCAAUAAACUCUCUUGGAAAAGGGAGCCAGUGGAGGGACGGCCUUUACCUGGUCCAGGAUGUGAGCAUUUGGGAUUUCACUCUUCAGCUUCCAGGCCACACGGAUGUUGGACUCGGGGGCAUCAAAGCGAGUGCACGGCGUCCUCACGAUCUCAGCACCCAGUGCCUUCAGGAUAUCGACCUUUGGGAGGGACAAGAGGAGCUGCAGCACAGCUGAUCCCACACAGGGAUGGACGAUGAUGCAGCGGUAACCCUUCAAUGCAGCCACCAGUGCCAGCCCAAUCCCUGCGUGGGGGGAGCAGAGGGAAUUGGUUGGCACCAGAAUUUGGCAGGAGCGACGGACGCGCGCCGCUGCCCGUGCUCCUCUCUGGAUGGAACCAAGGAGUGGCCACUGACCAGCCAAGGAAAUGGCCAAAGACAUGAUGCUGGACAUUCCUUCUGCAUUUAACUUCAGACUGAGAACAGAGACAUCAUUUUGCCAUCUGGCAGAACCAAACCAAAGAAGAAAUGUCUCAUUGCCAAGCACAGAGAACUGCCUGCAGCAGGGCCAGAUGUGGAAAUCCAGUGGCCAUGGGAAAUCCAGUUUGGUUGGGGAGCUUCUUUUCCCCCCAGGCCAUAAAGCCACAGCCCUGUCCCCCCCCAGCCCCUGGGCUCCCAGUGGCCAGCACACUGUUGUGGCUAAGUCCUGAUGAUCUGAAUUCUUUGUGGCUCGACAUAUGAGCCCAUGGGCAGCCUUAAUUACCAUUUCUGCCAUCCUCCUCCUGCUUGCCUGCUCCGUUCACCCUCCUGGUGGGAGUUUCUCUGCAGCAGCCUGGCAGCACAGCCCGAGGUCCACGCUGUGAUUCCCUGGUGGCUCCCACGCUGGAUGGGGCUGGGGUUUGGUCCCUGAGGGCUGGGCUGUCCCUGGAACACAGAAACACACCACACUGAAACUCCAGCAACACCAGAGGGGUGGAACAGCCCGUGCUGUGUGGCUGAACCUCCUCCUUAUCCAGAGCAUCUCUGGAGAUGGAAGUUAACAACCUUCUGCUGCAACCUGGCUCCACAGCUAAAGCAGACAGAGAACUCUGGUCCAGCCCCACACCAGCCCCUCAGAAACCUUUUCUUCUCCAGACACAGCACCCCCAGCCUCAGAAAGCAGCAGGAAACCAUGAGGGUGCAGGGCAGUCCCCCCAAAAUGCCUUGGCUCCUGCAGCCAGCAAAAGCUUCCCCAGCAAACUUUGCCUCCCAGUGCUCUUCCCCACCACUGCUGCUCAAUGGCAGGGAUUAAAGGGGAAAAAUGGUUCAUUUCCUUGCAAGCCAGGAUUUGUGUUGGCCUUGAGUAUAUCUCCCAAGCAAAUCUGUAUUUACCUAUCUAAUUAGCUGGGAAGGAGCAAAAGUCACCUGUGGGUAAAGAAGAGAUAAUCCACAGUGUAGCAGAAAUGUCAGCACGCUUUCACAACUGAGCUCAGCAGUUACCACACAAAAUGCUGCCUGUUAGAAUUCCAGAUAUUGGGAAUUUUAGAUGUUUUUGUGUUGAAAGACAGACUCUCAAGAGAACACAGCGUUUAACCUGAAGCCAUAGAGAAAACUUCCAAAAUUGAAUAAUAGCAUUAAGAUUAUGAGUGUGUAGUUUGAAUAAAAUGUGUAAUAUCACA